rnacentral:lncRNA from 1 species
GGUGGUGGUGGUGGUGGAGGUUGAGUUGCUGCUGCUGCUGUUGCAGGAGGAGGGAGUUGCUUUGCGCCUGCAUGUUGACGGCGGCGGCCUCCAGCAUGGCGGCCGCCGCGGCCGCGGCGUUGAUGUCGUGGAGCGGGUCGACGCCGCCGCAGCGCAGGCGCUCGAGUUCCGCCACGCCGAGGCCGCGCUGGGGCGCCUUCCUGGGCGCUACACCGCCGCCGCNN